rnacentral:rRNA from 1 species
AACGAACGCUGGCGGCAUGCCUAACACAUGCAAGUCGAGCGAGACCUUCGGGUCUAGUGGCGCACGGGUGCGUAACGCGUGGGAACCUGCCCUUAGGUUCGGAAUAACUCCCCGAAAGGGGUGCUAAUACCGGAUAAUGUCUUCGGACCAAAGAUUUAUCGCCUUUGGAUGGGCCCGCGUUGGAUUAGCUAGUUGGUAGGGUAAAAGCCUACCAAGGCGACGAUCCAUAGCUGGUCUGAGAGGAUGAUCAGCCACACUGGGACUGAGACACGGCCCAGACUCCUACGGGAGGGAGCAGUGGGGAAUAUUGGACAAUGGGCGAAAGCCUGAUCCAGCAAUGCCGCGUGAGUGAUGAAGGCCUGAGGGUUGUAAAGCUCUUUUACCCGGGAUGAUAAUGACAGUACCGGGAGAAUAAGCUCCGGCUAACUCCGUG